AGUUGGAUCCCGACGCCCGGAGCUGGCAAGAUUUGGGCCGUGGAGGAGCUUCGUGGCAAUUCCCGCCUCCAUGCGGAUAGAGGCGGGGCUUUCCUACGAGAUCUGGAUUACGAUUGGCCGAUCCCUGAAACGCUCGACCAUAGAGUUGGCGGGACUCAGAGGUUCCAUAACCUCGCGCACAAGAUGGCGACCAAGGUGUACGCUGAAGAAAAAGGCGUGGGAGAGAUGACGGGACGUGUGACGCAGUCAGACACAUGACUUUGGCCCCGAGCCUUCAUUCGGGCGCUUGGGCCACGGGGCGCGUUGCAUGUUGGGAUUGGUAGUUGCGCUGAGGGGGGGGGCCCAAGGACAGCUGAGAUCCCGCGAGAUAUUCUAGGCCGGGAGAGCCGAUGCCUUUGCAGUAAUUCCCACCGUGGAGGUUUGUGGAAAGACCGCUUUCCAUGGAGAGUAAAGGCCGGCUGGAAAGUCCCCAAGCGUCACUGCUACAACAUGGUGACCUCCUGGAGAACAGGGACGUGUGGUGUUUCUCUUUGUAUUUGUCUUUUGUUCCCAGAACAGGGAUUGUCAAUGAGGUAGAUCAGAUUCCCAUUCGACGGGCAACCAGUCAAUGAAACAGACACACCUGCACAGUUGGAAAUGGAGGAUGAAGAUACAAUUGAUGUGUUCCAACAGCAGACGGGAGGUGUCUACUGAAAAGGGAACCUGCUUCUUUACUCCAGAACUCUGUUCUUUAAAGAC
rnacentral:lncRNA from 10 species